UACGUAGGGAGCAAGCGUUAUCCGGAUUUAUUGGGUGUAAAGGGUGCGUAGACGGGAUUACAAGUUGGUUGUGAAACCCCUCAGCUCAACUGAGGAACUGCAACCAAAACUAUAAUUCUUGAGUGCAGGAGAGGAAAGUGGAAUUCCUAGUGUAGCGGUGAAAUGCGUAGAUAUUAGGAAGAACACCGGUGGCGAAGGCGACUUUCUGGACUGUAACUGACGUUGAGGCACGAAAGCGUGGGGAGCAAACAGG
rnacentral:rRNA from 1 species